AUACGUAGGGGGCGAGCGUUGUCCGGAAUGAUUGGGCGUAAAGGGCGCGUAGGCGGCCCGGUAAGUCUGGAGUGAAAGUCCUGUUUUUAAGAUGGGAAUUGCUUUGGAUACUGUCGGGCUUGAGUGCAGGAGAGGUAAGUGGAAUUCCCAGUGUAGAGGUGAAAUGCGUAGAGAUUGGGAGGAACACCAGUGGCGAAGGCGACUUACUGGACUGUAACUGACGCUGAGGCGCGAAAGUGUGGGGAGCAAACAGGAUUAGAUACCCUGGUAGUCCACACUGUAAACGAUGAAUGCUAGGUGUUGGGGGUAUCGACCCCUUCUGUGCCGCAGUCAACACAAUAAGCAUUCCGCCUGGGGAGUACGGCCGCAAGGUUGAAACUCAAAUGAAUUGACGGGG
rnacentral:rRNA from 1 species